GACGAACGCUGGCGGCGUGCCUAAUACAUGCAAGUCGAGCGGACUUUCAAGAAGCUUGCUUUUUGAAAGUUAGCGGCGGACGGGUGAGUAACACGUGGGCAACCUGCCUGCAAGACGGGGAUAACUCCGGGAAACCGGGGCUAAUACCGGAUAAUAUCUUCCUUCGCAUGAAGGAAGGUUGAAAGGCGGCGCAAGCUGCCGCUUGCAGAUGGGCCCGCGGCGCAUUAGCUAGUUGGUGAGGGAACGGCUCACCAAGGCGACGAUGCGUAGCCGACCUGAGAGGGUGAUCGGCCACACUGGGACUGAGACACGGCCCAGACUCCUACGGGAGGCAGCAGUAGGGAAUCUUCCGCAAUGGACGAAAGUCUGACGGAGCAACGCCGCGUGAGCGAAGAAGGUCUUCGGAUCGUAAAGCUCUGUUGUCAGGGAAGAACAAGUACCGUUCGAACAGGGCGGUACCUUGACGGUACCUGACCAGAAAGCCACGGCUAACUACGUG
rnacentral:rRNA from 1 species